UGAUUACACUUUCUCACUUUGACAUGGGAUUUAGUACUCCACCAGUUCGUGUGUUUUUUGGCACAGUGGAUUGUAUUCCAAAGAGGGACUUAGAAGAAUAGAAUGGCAUGGAGUUCCAAUAAUAACAUGCAGAAACUGUUUUUGAUUUUGGACUUGCAUGUCGAUAAAACUAGUGGAAAAGACUAGAGAUCUGAAGAGACAAAUUUGUCAGCUAAGUACUGAACAAGUUGACGCCUGAACUUUUGGGCAACAUUGUCGCCAUGAUGGCACGUUUGUUUUACAUUUGUUUGUCAAUUUUUUACAAUAUAAUUGUUAUAAUAUAAAUAAAUCAAUAUUGUGAUACCAAUUC
rnacentral:sRNA from 1 species